rnacentral:rRNA from 1 species
GACGAACGCUGGCGGCGUGCUUAACACAUGCAAGUCGAACGGAAAGGCCUGCUUUCCCUUGUGGAUUGCGGGUACUCGAGUGGCGAACGGGUGAGUAACACGUGAGUGAUCUGCCCCCAACUUGGGUAUAAGCCUGGGAAACUGGGUCUAAUUCCCGAUAGGACUGCAGGGUGGUGCCUGUGGUGGAAAACGAUUUUCUAGUGGUUGGGGAUGAGCUCGCGGCCUAUCAGCUUGUUGGUGGGGUAAUGGCCUACCAAGGCGGCGACAGGUAGCCGGCCUGAGAGGGUGGACGGCCACAGUGGGACUGAGAUACGGCCCAGACUCCUACGGGAGGCAGCAGUGGGGAAUAGUGCACAAUGGGCGGAAGCCUGAUGCAGCGACGCCGCGUGGGGGAUGACGGCCUUCGGGUUGUAAACUCCUUUCGACCGCGAGGAAGCCACCUGGUUGGAAGGGUGGUGACGGUAGUGGUAGAAGAAGCACCGGCUAACUACGUG